rnacentral:rRNA from 1 species
GAUGAACGCUGGCGGCGUGCUUAACACAUGCAAGUCGAACGAAGCACCUUAUUCUGAUUUCUUCGGAAUGAAAAAUUUGGUGACUGAGUGGCGGACGGGUGAGUAACGCGUGGGUAACCUGCCUCAUACAGGGGGAUAACAGUUAGAAAUGACUGCUAAUACCGCAUAAGACCACAGCACCGCAUGGUGCAGGGGUAAAAACUCCGGUGGUAUGAGAUGGACCCGCGUCUGAUUAGGUAGUUGGUGGGGUAACGGCCUACCAAGCCGACGAUCCGAAGCCGACCUGAGAGGGUGACCGGCCACAUUGGGACUGAGACACGGCCCAAACUCCUACGGGAGGCAGCAGUGGGGAAUAUUGCAAAAUGGGGGAAACCCUGAUGCAGCGACGCCGCGUGAGCGAUGAAGUAUUUCGGUAUGUAAAGCUCUAUCAGCAGGGAAGAAAAUGACGGUACCUGACUAAGAAGCACCGGCUAAAUACGUGCCAGCCGCCGCAGUAA